ACAAAGGAUAUCUAGAAUAUGAUUCAGAUUCAGUUUAUUCGGUAAUUCUGGCCUUAAGGCCUACAUUACAGUUGUUGAUGUUACAAAAUACUAUGCAAGUCACGUGAACUUAUGGUUACAUUCAUGGUUACAUUUAUGGCUACGCACAGUGAAAACAUGUUUGAGAU